AGAGUUUGAUCAUGGCUCAGAACGAACGUUGGCGGCGUGGAUGAGGCAUGCAAGUCGCACGUGAAAGUCGCAAGACGAGUAAAGUGGCGGACGGGCGAGUAAGACGUAAUCAAGCUGCCCUUGAGACGGGGAUAACCUCGGGAAACCGAGGCUAAUACCCGAUGGUCCCGCUGGGUCGCAUGGCCUGGCGAGUAAAUGGUGGGGUCCUUCGGGACCUGCUGCUCUUGGAGGUGAUUGCGGCCCAUCAGCUAGUUGGCGGGGUAACGGCCCACCAAGGCGAUGACGGGUAGCCGGCCUUAGAGGGUGGUCGGCCGCACUGGGACUGAGACACUGCCCAGACUCCUACGGGAGGCUGCAGUCGAGAAUCUUCCGCAAUGGGCGCAAGCCUGACGGAGCGACGCCGCGUGGAGGACGAAGGCCUUAGGGUUGUAAACUCCUGUCACGGAUUAAGAAUGUCAUGUCAUGAACAGUGGUAUGAUUGACGUAAGUCCGAGAGGAAGCACUGGCUAACUCUGUGCCAGCAGCCGCGGUAAUACAGAGAGUGCAAACGUUGUUCGGAAUUACUGGGCUUAAAGCGCACGUAGGCGGCGCCGCAAGUGUGGGGUGAAAGCCCACGGCUUACCCGUGGAAUUGCCUGGCAGACUGCGGUGCUAGAGUGUGGUAGGGGAGAGCGGAACUCCUGGUGGAGCGGUGAAAUGCGUAGAUAUCAGGAGGAACACCGGUGGCGAAGGCGGCUCUCUGGUCCACAACUGACGCUGAGGUGCGAAAGCUAGGGGAGCAAACGGGAUUAGAUACCCUAGUAGUCC
rnacentral:rRNA from 1 species